GUGGAAGUACUCUGCAGUCUGUGUAGUAUGUUAGUUAUCAGUCACGUAAGCAGAUUUCCCUGCUCCCGGCUGGGGACUGUAACAUGCUCAGCCAUUGCCCAGGAACUGUGCCAGGGCUAGGUGCCUGUCACGGCUCUCCUGGAGAACCCUCAGUAGCUUCCCACCCCUUCUAUGGGGUGCUGCAGCUGCAGCACUGUUUGUCAGGCUCGGGCCACUUAAUAUGCAGCUCCAGCAACAUCAAACCUUUGGGCAUGGGCAGGGGCCAGGCAUCUGCCUCCCAGAGACUUGAGUGCAGCAGCAGGAGGGCCUGGCAGGAGAGGGCAGGGCUGGGCAGCCCGAGGACUCCAGCGGGGUGGCCCAAAGAGAGGAGGCUUUCCGGCAUCCCCGGCAUGGCCUAUCCCCUUUGUCCUGCCUGCCCUCUGGACAGAGAGAGACUCAUUAUCCAGUUAGAUGCUAGGCGGUAAGAGGAGGAAGCUAAUUGUGCUAGCGCUAGCUAAUUAAUGCUGCCUUUCCUAUUAACAUUCUUUGGAGUGCUCCAUUUCAAUUAGAUGAUCUGUCCAGGAAGAGAGGCUGUCGUCAGUCCAGAGAAAGUAAGCAAGAGGAGGUGACGGAAGGAGGGAAACAGAGACAGAGACAGAGGAAAAGAGGAGAGAGACCGAAGGGAGAGUGGAAUGGUGGGGGAUGAGGGAGAGACUGAGAUGCAAAUAGGGAAACAAAAGAAGAAACAGAAAGGAAGAAUGACUGAGGAUGUGGGGGAGAGGAGGGGUGCGCAGCGGAAGACUUGCAGGAGAGAGGCCUGGAAGGGGUGGGAAUUGCUCCUGUAAUAUGCAAGAUUCGUAUUAAUGAAAUAAUUAAACUUCCCAUUUGCAACGCCCUAACACGAGCCUGCCAGCUUGCCGAGGGGAUGGUAACUGCUCUGAGUCCCGAUUUGUAUUCGCACUGGAGGCAGCUCAGACUCACCCCAUCUCCAAAGGGAAAAACCAAGUCUGCAUGUGGAGGCACACUCAGAGGUAGUCAAAAAUUAAACUCUGGGCCUUGCCGGGGCCCAUGAAUCAAGGUGGAUGCAUAUCCACGAAACCAACCAUCCUCCUCUUGGGAAAGGCAACCGAGGCAGCUGCUUAAAAGAGAACAGGCCCUAGGGAGCCUCAUAAGGAAAGACUUCACCCACUUUCAAGCCCAGGCUUGUGGAAAUCCAAAGCCAUAUCUGCAGUCAAAUCCCAGCUUUAUAACAGAAAAAAAAAACGCACAUCUAUAUGCAUUUAAAAACCCAUUAAUAGCAGUAACCUGUUUGGGAGGAUUAUGGGUGAUUUUUAUUUUCUCCUUUGUACUUGUCUGUUUCUAAUUUUUCUGCAAUGAUCAGGUAUAUCCUUACUUUUAGAAUCAGAAAUAAAUGUUAUUUAAAAAUAGAAU
rnacentral:lncRNA from 10 species